CAUAAUUCAGAUAUGAACUUAAUGUGUUUUAGAAUGACAAACAUAACAUUCGAGGUACGUAUCCUCCCAUCCUAUAGGAGAGUUUCAACAAGCUUUGCCGGCUCUGAACGUACCUGCUCAGAUAAGGAGAACGGCCAGUAUCAGCACCGUUGUCUUCAUCGUGGUGUUCUCAGAACUUGCAGGCGAACGGCGAUACAAGACUAAUCGACACAAGUGUGGUGGUCUAUACUCGA
rnacentral:lncRNA from 1 species